rnacentral:lncRNA from 1 species
GUUUCCCAAACUUGGGAUCAAUUCCUUCAUUUAUGGUCCAGAUCCCUGCUCCUCUGGGCUGGGUGUUGCAAUUUCAGCUCAAUUCCUCAGCCCAUGGACAGGAGCAGGUUUGAUAAUCCCUAGUGGAUUAUCAAAUCCCGUGUGGGAUUCAGGCCAAGCAGGUGAGUUUGGGGUGGCCACACUCCUGCCCCAGCUCAGCAGAACACAAACCUCAUUUUGGUGCCCUCAUCAGUGCCCUGAACCAUCCUCCUCCUCCUCUCCUCUCCUCCUCUUCCUCUCCUCUGCUUCCCUUUCCUCUUCUUCCUCUCCUUUUACUUCAUCUCCUCUCCUUCCUCUCCUUCCUCUCCUACUCUUCCUCUCCUCUGCUUCCUCUCCUUUACUUCAUCUCCUCUCCUUCCCUUUCCUCUUCUUCCUCUCCUUUACUUCAUCUCCUCUCCUUCCCUUUCCUCUUCUUCCUCUCCUUUACUUCAUCUCCUCUCCUUCCCUUUCCUCUUCUUCCUCUUUUACUUCAUCUCCUCUCCUUCCUCUCCUCUGCCCUCUCCUCUUCUUCCUCUCCUUUACUUCAUCUCCUCUUCUUUCUCUCUUCUUCCUCUCCUCUUCUUCCUCUCCUUUAAUUCCUCUCCUUCCUCUCCUCUGCUCUCUCCUCUUCUUCCUUCCCUUUA